CCCAAGCGAACAGUAUCACCAAGAAGUGCCGGCUUCUCAAGUAUGACGAAAGCUUGCAGUUUUAUUAUUGCGACUGUUUUGGUGGUAUGUGGUGUCUUGCUGACCACUACAGAAAAUGGAGGUCCUGCACGUGCCUUAGGAGUUCCACUUCCUGAGCCAAGUCCGGGAUGGGGUCGUCCUUCCCGCCCGUAUACAACUCCUCGAACAACUACGAGAUCUACACCAAGUUGUUGGAGUGGUCCCGCAAAAAGGCUCCAAAAUCCUCAGCAGUAUAAAACUAUCAAAUUUUGAGAAAGGAUCUCAUGUGGAAAGCAUACUGCUUAUUUGCAAGAUAAAUCUCCAACAAGGACCUUCACAUCUCUACCUUGACACGUGAAUAUGCAGAGAACCAUGAUGUAUACAAUGAGUUUGCUGACUGGAUCAUGACACUAUAAAAAAGCAGUCCCUUGAAGGCAUUGUUCAGGGCCGGAGCGUUGUACACAAUAUGCCAACUGUAGCGUGCGCUGACGGAUGGAAUCGCAAGCAUUUGACGCCUCUUUGGAGCAGCUUCGAAAACGGGACAGAUGACUACUUGAUGUGAUGGCUAUGUUGCUUGCCCUGUGUUCAGAAUUUUAUAUUUUCUGCAAUAAAGGAGGACAGAAGACGUUUAA